rnacentral:lncRNA from 1 species
AUGUCGAGGGCUAAAUCUACAGAGGGAUUGGGGUGCCUUGAUAGCAAUAAUACUCCAGCCCUCUGCAUGAAGCCUGGGAAGAGCAAGCACAUCAGAACGAGGAUGGGGGAUGCCCCAGGUAGUCUCAAAUCUUGCUGUAAAAUUGCACUUAACCUCCAAAACCAGACUGUGGCUUGGGUCUCCCAGUGCUUUUUGCUGCUGUUUUGGCCUUCCAGGUGCCUUGUGCUUGUGAAUGCCUCCACCUGCAGCUUAUUUUUCUCACCUGGUGAGUUGAACUUGCCACAGCAUGUAAGCCCCUUGCAGAGGCUUAGGUGGUUGCUGAAGGAGGUGUGGAUGGUUGUGUGCUGGCUGGAGCAAGGAGCACCUCUUGGUGGGGCCUUUCUUCCUGUUGGGUUAGUGCACUGUGUCCCAGGCAGCAGCCAGGGGUAUCCCAGCAGAGCCAUGCAAGUCACCAAUGUGGACAAGAGUGUCUUGGUGAAUAUCCGCAACUAGGAAAAGGUAAUGCCAGGCAGAAAAGGUGUGUUAUAUCUA